rnacentral:tRNA from 1 species
GCCGAGGUGGCGGAAUUGGCAGACGCGCCGGUCUCAAAAACCGGUGGAGGCAACUCUAUGCGGGUUCGACUCCCGCCCUCGGCA